rnacentral:rRNA from 1 species
UACAGAGGGUGCGAGCGUUAAUCGGAUUUACUGGGCGUAAAGGGCGCGUAGGCGGUGAUGUGAGUGUGAUGUGAAAGCCCUGGGCUCAACCUGGGAACUGCAUCCAAAACUACUGAGCUAGAGUACGGUAGAGGGUAGUGGAAUUUCCUGUGUAGCGGUGAAAUGCGUAGAUAUAGGAAGGAACACCAGUGGCGAAGGCGACUACCUGGACUGAUACUGACACUGAGGUGCGAAAGCGUGGGGAGCAAACAGGAUUAGAUACCCCGGUAGU